ACGAAGCGACGCCGCGUGUGUGAUGAAGGCUCUAGGGUUGUAAAGCACUUUCGCUUGGGAAUAAGAGAGAUUGGCUAAUAUCCAAUCGAUUUGAGCGUACCAGGUAAAGAAGCACCGGCUAACUCCGUGCCAGCAGCUGCGGUAAUACGGAGGGUGCUAGCGUUAAUCGGAUUUAUUGGGCGUAAAGGGCGUGUAGGCGGAAAGGAAAGUUAGAUGUUAAAUCUUGGGGCUCAACCCCAAGCCAGCAUCUAAUACUAUCUUUCUAGAGGGUAGAUGGAGAAAAGGGAAUUCCACGUGUAGCGGUGAAAUGCGUAGAUAUGUGGAAGAACACCAGUGGCGAAGGCGCUUUUCUAAUUUACACCUGACGCUAAGGCGCGAAAGCAAGGGGAGCAAACAGGAUUAGAUGCCCUGGUAGUCCUUGCCGUA
rnacentral:rRNA from 1 species